GAUGAACGCUGGCGGCGUGCCUAAUACAUGCAAGUCGAACGCUGGAAAUCUAGCUUGCUAGAUUGAAGGAGUGGCGAACGGGUGAGUAAUACAUAAGCAACCUACCCACGAAGACUGGGAUAAUCUCUGGAAACGGGGACUAAUACCGGAUAGGUAAUCGGAAGGCAUCUUCUGAUUAUUAAAGGUUAAAAACACUGGUGGAUGGGCUUAUGGCGCAUUAGUUAGUUGGUGAGGUAACGGCCCACCAAGACGAUGAUGCGUAGCCGGCCUGAGAGGGUGAACGGCCACAUUGGGACUGAGACACGGCCCAGACUGCUACGGGAGGCAGCAGUAGGGAAUGUUCGGCAAUGGGGGAAACCCUGACCGAGCAACGCCGCGUGAGUGAUGACGGCCUUCGGGUUGUAAAGCUCUGUUGUAAGGGAAGAACGGUAGAUAGAGAAUAUCUAAAUGACGGUACCUUACCAGAAAGCCACGGCUAACUACGUG
rnacentral:rRNA from 1 species